GGGAGUGACAGGCUUAGACAAUAAAUACAUUUGUCCGCAUGCAAAGGAGAAGUGGAGAUCUUCUUAAAAAUCUUCAAACUAUAACUGCAAAAACAGUUACGUCACCGUAUUUUACGGCGAACGACCUCGCUUUCGCCACCGCAAGGGGCUAAGCGAGCACAGUCUCUUCAACGCUCGUGAGGAGAGAUACUGUGUUAUAACACCGGGAUCGAUCAGUUAAGCUGCUUACUUAACUCUUCCAAACUUAAAGCUGCGGUAUAUCGGGAUUUUGUCCGCUUCAUACUCGAUAUAUCUAAGACAAUAAAACGGACUAGCCUUUGUAGAAAUUCGUACAAAUCUUUAUUGCACGGCGGUUCAACUCCGCCCACUUCCACCA
rnacentral:tmRNA from 1 species